AUGCAAGUCGAACGCACCUUCGGGUUGAGUGGCGGACGGGUGAGUAACGCGUGAGAAUCUGCCUUGGGGUCGGGGACAACCACUGGAAACGGUGGCUAAUACCGGAUAAGCCUUUGGGUAAAAGAUUUAUUGCCCCAAGAGGAGCUCGCGUCUGAUUAGCUAGUUGGUGAGGUAAAAGCUCACCACGGCAGCGAUCAGUAGCUGGUCUGAGAGGACGAUCAGACACACUGGGACUGAGACACGGACCAUACUCCUACGGGAGGCAGCAGUGGGGAAUUUUCCGCAAUGGGCGAUAGCCUGACGGAGCAAGACCGCGUGAGGGAGGAAGGCUCUUGGGUUGUAAACCUCUUUUCUCAUGGAAGAAGCUCUGACGGUACCUGAUGAAUCAGCCUCGGCUAACUCCGUGCCAGCAGCCGCGGUAAUACGGAGGAGGCAAGCAUUAUCCGGAAUUAUUGGGCGUAGAGCGUCCGCAGGUGGCGAUUCAAGUCUGCUGUCAAAGCACGGGGCUUAACUCCGUUAAGGCAGUGGAAACUGAAUAGCUAUAGUGCCGUACGGGUAGAGGGAAUUCCCGGUGUACCGGUGAAAUGCGUAGAGAUCGGGAAGAACAUCGGUGGCGAAAGCGCUCUACUGGACGGCAACUGACACUCAGGGACGAAAGCUAGGGGAGCGAAUGGGAUUAGAUACCCCAGUAGUCCUAGCUGUAAACGAUGGAUACUAGGUGUAGCUUGUAUCGACCCGAGCUGUGCCGAAGCUAACGCGUUAAGUAUCCCGCCUGGGGAGUACGCACGCAAGUGUGAAACUCGAAGGAAUUGACGGGGGCCCGCACAAGCGGUGGAGUAUGUGGUUUAAUUCGAUGCAACGCGAAGAACCUUACCAGGGCUUGACAUGUCCGGAAUCCCGGUGAAAGCUGGGAGUGCCUUCGGGAGCCGGAACACAGGUGGUGCAUGGCUGUCGUCAGCUCGUGUCGUGAGAUGUUGGGUUAAGUCCCGCAACGAGCGCAACCCUCGUCUUUAGUUGCCAGCAUUAAGUUGGGCACUCUAGAGAGACCGCCGGUGACAAACCGGAGGAAGGUGGGGAUGACGUCAAGUCAGCAUGCCCCUUACGCUCCGGGCGACACACGUACUACA
rnacentral:rRNA from 1 species